AUUGGACGCUGGCGGAAUGCUUUACACAUGCAAGUCGAACGGCAGCACGGGGGCAGCCCUGGUGGCGAGUGGCGAACGGGUGAGUAAUACAUCGGAACGUGCCCGGUCGUGGGGGAUAACGUAGCGAAAGUUACGCUAAUACCGCAUACGAUCAGAGGAUGAAAGCGGGGGACCUUCGGGCCUCGCGCGAUCGGAGCGGCCGAUGUCAGAUUAGGUAGUUGGUGGGGUAAAGGCCUACCAAGCCGACGAUCUGUAGCUGGUCUGAGAGGACGACCAGCCACACUGGGACUGAGACACGGCCCAGACUCCUACGGGAGGCAGCAGUGGGGAAUUUUGGACAAUGGGCGCAAGCCUGAUCCAGCCAUUCCGCGUGCAGGACGAAGGCCUUCGGGUUGUAAACUGCUUUUGUACGGAACGAAAAGGCUCUGGCUAAUACCUGGGGCUCAUGACGGUACCGUAAGAAUAAGCACCGGCUAACUACGUG
rnacentral:rRNA from 1 species